UACGGGGGGGGCAAGCGUUGUUCGGAAUUACUGGGCGUAAAGCGCACGUAGGCGGCUUUCUAAGUCGGAGGUGAAAUCCUGGAGCUCAACUCCAGAACUGCCUUCGAUACUGGAGAGCUUGAGUCCGGGAGAGGUGAGUGGAACUGCGAGUGUAGAGGUGAAAUUCGUAGAUAUUCGCAAGAACACCAGUGGCGAAGGCGGCUCACUGGCCCGGUACUGACGCUGAGGUGCGAAAGCGUGGGGAGCGAACAGG
rnacentral:rRNA from 1 species